AUGGGAGAGAAGAGCUUAGUAAAAGGUGGUGAGAGGCGUCUACCACGGUCGCCGAGUGGCAUCAUUGGGGGUCUUUGUAGGUUAAAUUAUCCUGGACUGGUCACUUUGCCGAACGGUAUCAUUGAGCCAGCUUGGUCAUGGGAUCACUACAAACUUGCACCGGAUUUCCUGGAUAUGCGUCAGAGGGUUUAUGAUAACAGAGCCAUGCGAGUGGUCAACGAUUUCUGGGAUUUCUAUACAUGUGUUAAGGGUCAGAAAGAUCGUGCAAAUGUGGUGGUCGAGAAUAUUGCCAAGAAACUAGUCCACGACAUGCACUAUGAGGAGCGCGUCCGGUUAGUGGUCAAGUAUCACGCGGACUAUCUCAACCAUAGGAUUUCCAAACAGGAGGCUCGAUGGACGCAUCUUUCACGGGACAAUUACUUCAAGCCGUGCUGGGAGAAAAUCGUCGAACGGUGGACAGAUCCAGGGUGGCAGGAUGAACACAAAGUAAUAUCUGAACGGCGUAAGUUGAUGGGGGGUCGAGGACACCGUCAAGGCAACCUCACCAUCUCAGAAAGAAGACACUGA
rnacentral:rRNA from 1 species